ACUCCUACGGGAGGCAGCAGUAGGGAAUCUUCCACAAUGGGCGCAAGCCUGAUGGAGCAACACCGCGUGAGUGAAGAAGGGUUUCGGCUCGUAAAGCUCUGUUGUUAAAGAAGAACACGUAUGAGAGUAACUGUUCAUACGUUGACGGUAUUUAACCAGAAAGUCACGGCUAACUACGUGCCAGCAGCCGCGGUAAUACGUAGGUGGCAAGCGUUAUCCGGAUUUAUUGGGCGUAAGGAGAGUGCAGGCGGUUUUCUAAGUCUGAUGUGAAAGCCUUCGGCUUAACCGGAGAAGUGCAUCGGAAACUGGAUAACUUGAGUGCAGAAGAGGGUAGUGGAACUCCAUGUGUAGCGGUGGAAUGCGUAGAUAUAUGGAAGAACACCAGUGGCGAAGGCGGCUACCUGGUCUGCAACUGACGCUGAGACUCGAAAGCAUGGGGUAGCGAACAGGAUUAGAUACCCUGGUAGGAAACCG
rnacentral:rRNA from 1 species